GCUGGCUUCUACAGGGCAUAUACUAAAGUGGAACAAUACAGAGAAGAUUAGCAUGGCCCCUGCACAAGGAUGACAUGCAAAUUCACGAAGCGUUUCAUGCUUUC